UACAGAGGUCCCAAGCGUUGUUCGGAUUCACUGGGCGUAAAGGGUGCGCAGGCGGUUGGGUGUGUCAGAUGUGAAAUCCCGAGGCUUAACCUCGGAACUGCGUCCGAAACUACUCGACUAGAGUACUGGAGAGGGAAACGGAAUUCACGGUGUAGCAGUGAAAUGCGUAGAUAUCGUGAGGAACACCAGAGGCGAAGGCGGUUUCCUGGACAGUUACUGACGCUCAGGCACGAAAGCAUGGGGAGCAAAAGGG
rnacentral:rRNA from 1 species